UGGGGAAUAUUGCACAAUGGGGGAAACCCUGAUGCAGCGACGCCGCGUGAGCGAAGAAGGUUUUCGAAUCGUAAAGCUCUGUCCUAUGGGAAGAUAAUGACGGUACCAUAGGAGGAAGCCCCGGCUAACUACGUGCCAGCAGCCGCGGUAAUACGUAGGGGGCAAGCGUUGUCCGGAAUCACUGGGCGUAAAGGGUUCGCAGGCGGAAAUGCAAGUCAGUUGUGAAAGGCAGAGGCUCAACCUCUGUAAGCAAUUGAAACUGUAUUUCUUGAGAUGUGGAGAGGCAAGUGGAAUUCCUAGUGUAGCGGUGAAAUGCGUAGAUAUUAGGAAGAAUACCGGUGGCGAAGGCGACUUGCUGGACACAAACUGACGCUGAGGAACUAAAGCGUGGGUAGCAAACAGG
rnacentral:rRNA from 1 species